rnacentral:rRNA from 1 species
UACGAAGGGGCUAGCGUUGCUCGGAAUCACUGGGCGUAAAGGGUGCGUAGGCGGGUCUUUAAGUCAGGGGUGAAUCCUGGAGCUCAACUCCAGAACUGCCUUUGAUACUGAGGAUCUUGAGUUCGGGAGAGGUGAGUGGAACUGCGAGUGUAGAGGUGAAAUUCGUAGAUAUUCGCAAGAACACCAGUGGCGAAAGGCGGCUUCCACGUGCCCAGCACGACCGUUGAGCGAACGUGCGGCUAGGGAAAGGCCGAACAUGG